UACGUAGGGACCGAGCGUUGUCCGGAUUCAUUGGGCGUAAAGAGCUCGUAGGCGGCUGUUCAAGUCGAACGUGAAAACUCGGAGCUCAACUCCGAGCCUGCGUUCGAUACUGGAUGGCUAGAGUCUGGUAGGGGGAUCUGGAAUUCCUGGUGUAGCGGUGGAAUGCGCAGAUAUCAGGAGGAACACCGGUGGCGAAGGCGGGAUCCUGGGCCAGUACUGACGCUGAGGAGCGAAAGCGUGGGGAGCAAACAGGAUUAGAUACCCUGGUAGUCCACGCCGUAAACGAUGGGCGCUAGGUGUGGGAGGUCAUCGACUCCUUCCGUGCCGCAGCUAACGCAUUAAGCGCCCCGCCUGGGGAGUACGGCCGCAAGGCUAAA
rnacentral:rRNA from 1 species